UACGUAGGGGGCAAGCGUUGUCCGGAUUUAUUGGGCGUAAAGAGCGUGUAGGCGGCCAUGUAGGUCCGUUGUGAAAACUCGAGGCUCAACCUCGAGACGCCGAUGGAAACCAUGUGGCUAGAGUCCGGAAGAGGAGAGUGGAAUCUGGUGUAGCGGUGAAAUGCGCAGAUAUCAGGAAGAACACCCGUGGCUAAGGCGGCUCUCUAGUACGGUACUGACGCUGAGACGCGAAAGCGUGGGGAGCAA
rnacentral:rRNA from 1 species